rnacentral:rRNA from 1 species
GAUGAACGCUAGCGGCAGGCUUAAUACAUGCAAGUUGAGGGGCAGCAUGAUAUACGCGAGUAUAUUGAUGGCGACCGGCGGACGGGUGAGUAAUAGGUAGGAGACCUACCUCAUACAGGGGGAUAGCAUAGAGAAAUCUGUGGUAAUACCCCAUGAGGUUAUAUGAAUAGAGGCAUAUAAUCAAAGCAUAAGCGAUUAUGCGGUAUGAGAGGGGCCUACUGACCAUUAGCUAGUUGGUGAGGUAAGGGCUCACCAAGGCGAAGAUGGUUAGGGGUUUUGAGAGAGAGAUCCCCCACAUUGGAACUGAGAUACGGUCCAGACUCCUACGGGAGGCAGCAGUAGGGAAUAUUGGGCAAUGGGCGGAAGCCUGACCCAGCCAUGCCGCGUGAAGGAAGACGGCCUUAUGGGUUGUAAACUUCUUUACUAUGCGACUAACUAGAUUUACGAGAUAAUUCUAUAGAAUGUAGCAUAGCAAAAAGCACC